AGGCGCCAGCCCCAUAGUCCUCUGAGUAACUGUCCUGCAGGGUGGUGCUCAGCCGUGCCUGCCCACACCUCCAUCGACUCCAGAUCUGGCACCUUCCAGCUCCUGCCCACAGAUCUGUAUUGCACCUGCCAAGCUCCAGUCUCCCACCCCCAACCUCUGCAGACUCUUCCAGCCUCCUCCAACUCCAGGUUCCUGCAGGAUCCCUCCCUGUCCUACUAGACUGGAGUGACUCUGAAGUCACUUCUACAAGCCUGCGUUGGGCUCCCAUGCAGAUGUCCCAUGUGCACAGAGCCCCGAUUCUGGCUGCAGAGGCAGCUGGCACCAGAUGUGCAGACACAAGGUGCCUGGGCAGGUGCCCAGACAGAAGCCUCAGUCUGGGGCCAUGAGGUGAGCACACUCCCGAGGGAGGCAUCAGCCCAGGACCUCAAACAACGAUGGUGAGAACACCAGCCCGCACUCUUCCUCAUUAGUUGGAGUCAACUUGGAUGCCACCUUCGUGGGAAGGUCUCUCUUCCCCACCAUACCUCUGUGCCUCCAUCUCUCUCGGCCUUUCACCCUACCAAGGAAAAUCUUCCUUGUCCUUCCUUUGUAUCACUGAUCAUCACCCAGCAUGAUCUAUUCAUUUG
rnacentral:lncRNA from 1 species